rnacentral:tRNA from 1 species
GGAGAGUUGGCCGAGUGGUUGAUGGCACCGGUCUUGAAAACCGGCAUCCCCGGAAGGGUAUCGGGGGUUCGAAUCCCUCACUCUCCGCCA